CGUGAGGCGGAGCUAAUCCCUUAAAGCCAUUCUCAGUUCGGAUUGUAGGCUGAAACUCGCCUACAUGAAGUCGGAGUUGCUAGUAAUCGCGGAUCAGAAUGCCGCGGUGAAUGCGUUCCCGGGUCUUGUACACACCGCCCGUCACACCAUGGAAGUUGGGGGCGCCCGAAGUUGCCUAAGAAAUAAGGUACCUAAGGCGAAACCAAUGACUGGGGUGAAGUCGUAACAAGGUACC
rnacentral:rRNA from 1 species